UACAGAGGUGGCAAGCGUUGUUCGGAUUUAUUGGGUGUAAAGGGCAGGUAGGUGGUUGUGUAAGUCCGCUGUGAAAUCCUAGGGCUCAACCCUAGAACUGCAGUAGAAACUACACGACUUGAGUGUCGGAGAGGUGAGGGGAAUUCUCGGUGUAAGGGUGAAAUCUGUAGAUAUCGAGAGGAACACCAGUGGCGAAGGCGGCUCACUGGACCGGCAUUGACGCUGAGGUGCGAAAGCCAGGGGAGCAAACGGG
rnacentral:rRNA from 1 species